rnacentral:lncRNA from 1 species
GGAGGGUUGUGUGGCUAUGGUACUCACAAGUCUCCUCAGAUCUUCCUCCGUUAAACGAGAAAUUCUUUCCUGAAAAAGUGUAAACAAUUCAUAAAGAUUGUAUUUACAAGUGUUCUAACAAUUUGAUAUUUUGAUAGAACAAAGGAAUCCAUGAUAUCUCGGCCUAUAACAAAAUCGGACUAUAACAAACUCGGCCUAUAACAUAAUCGGCCUCACAAAAUCGGACUUUAACAAACUCGGAC